rnacentral:sRNA from 1 species
ACUAGGUACAGUGGCAUAUGCCUGUAAUCCCAGUGGCUCAGGAGGCUGAGGCAGGAGGAUCAUGGGUUCAAAGCCAACCUCAGCAACUUAGUGAGGCUCUAAGAAACUCAUUAGAUCCUGUCUCUA